AUUGAACGCUGGCGGCAUGCCUUACACAUGCAAGUCGAACGGCAGCGCGGGAGCAAUCCUGGCGGCGAGUGGCGAACGGGUGAGUAAUGCAUCGGAACGUGCCCAAGAGUGGGGGAUAACUAGUCGAAAGAUUAGCUAAUACCGCAUACGAUCUAAGGAUGAAAGUGGGGGACCGCAAGGCCUCAUGCUCCUGGAGCGGCCGAUGUCUGAUUAGCUAGUUGGUGGGGUAAAAGCCUACCAAGGCGACGAUCAGUAGCUGGUCUGAGAGGACGACCAGCCACACUGGGACUGAGACACGGCCCAGACUCCUACGGGAGGCAGCAGUGGGGAAUUUUGGACAAUGGGGGAAACCCUGAUCCAGCAAUGCCGCGUGUGUGAAGAAGGCCUUCGGGUUGUAAAGCACUUUUGUCAGGAACGAAACGGUGAGGGCCAAUACCCCUUGCUAAUGACGGUACCUGAAGAAUAAGCACCGGCUAACUACGUGC
rnacentral:rRNA from 1 species